UAACGCGUGAGGAACCUGCCUCAAAGAGGGGGGAAACAGUUGGAAACGACUGCUAAUACCGCAUAAGCCCACAGCUCGGCAUCGAGCAGAGGGAAAAGGAGUGAUCCGCUUUGAGAUGGCCUCGCGUCCGAUUAGCUAGUUGGUGAGGUAAUGGCCCACCAAGGCGACGAUCGGUAGCCGGACUGAGAGGUUGAACGGCCACAUUGGGACUGAGACACGGCCCAG
rnacentral:rRNA from 1 species